rnacentral:rRNA from 1 species
GAUGAACGCUGGCGGCGUGCCUAAUACAUGCAAGUCGAGCGAACAGACGAGGAGCUUGCUCCUCUGACGUUAGCGGCGGACGGGUGAGUAACCCGUGGAUAACCUACCUAUAAGACUGGGAUAACUUCGGGAAACCGGAUCUAAUACCGGAUAAUAUAUUGAACCGCAUGGUUCACUAGUGCAAGACGUUCUUGCUGUCCCUUUUAGAUGGAUCCGCGCCGCAUUAGCUAGUUGGUAAGGUAACGGCUUACCAAGGCAACGAUGAGUAGCCGACCUGAGAGGGUGAUCGGCCACACUGGAACUGAGACACGGUCCAGACUCCUACGGGAGGCAGCAGUAGGGAAUCUUCCGCAAAGGGCGAAAGCUUGACGGAGCAACGCCGCGUGAGUGAUGAAGGUCUUCGGAUCGUAAAACUCUGUUAUUAGGGAAGAAAAAGUGUGUAAGUAACUAUGCACGUCUUGACGGUACCUAAUCAGAAAGCCACGGCUAACUACGUG